CCUCUGUUCCCAGUAAUUCCUGCUGAACAAAGCUCCAUACAAAAGUGCACCCCUUGAUAGCUCCAUCAGAUUUACAGCCUUCUUCUAGCAGAACCAGGCCAGGAUGGAGGAGCCCUGGGCAUUGCCUUGCUCAGCUCCCCCAGAGCUGCUGAGCACCUCCAAGACUGCCUCUUCUUAUGAAAUCUGGAAGACUGCAAUAUUCUUCAGGCCUCCGACUUACAGUCAGAUUUGAUUCAAAUCAACCUUUCCCAAACAAGAGUUGUAUCACAGGAGAGAAGCACUGGCACUGACCAGCAAAACAAAAGCGUGUAUUUUUACUUCCUCAAGAACUUUGGCUAAAGUAGGGAUGGUUCAACUCAUUUAGCA
ensembl:lncRNA